ACUGCUCAGUAACACGUGGUUAACCUACCCUCAGGACAGGGAUAAACCCGGGAAACUGGGGCUAAUACCUGAUAGGUGAGGAUGCCUGGAAUGGUUUCUCACUCAAAGGGCUUUGGAAACAUGCUUCCACUGUCGCCUGGGGAUGGGGCCGCGACCGAUCAGGUUGUUGGUGAGGUAACGGCUCACCAAGCCUAUAACCGGUACGGGCCGUGAGAGCGGUAGCCCGGAGAUGGGUACUGAGACAAGGACCCAGGCCCUACGGGGCGCAGCAGUCGCGAAAACUCCGCAAUGCACGAAAGUGUGACGGGGCUACCCCGAGUGCCAUCCGCUGAGGAUGGCUUUUCUUUGGUAUAACUAGCCAGGGGAAUAAGGAGAGGGCAAGACUGGUGUCAGCCGCCGCGGUAAUACCAGCUCUCCGAGUGGUAGGGAUGAUUAUUGGGCUUAAAGCGUCCGUAGCCGGCUUAGCAAGUCUCCUGUUAAAUUCAGCGACCUAAUCGUUGAGCCGCGGGAGAUACUACUAGGCUAGGAGGCGGGAGAGGUCGACGGUACUUCUGGGGUAGGGGUGAAAUCCUAUAAUCCCGGGAGGACCACCAGUGGCGAAGGCUGUCGACUAGAACGCGCUCGACGGUGAGGGACGAAAGCUGGGGGAGCGAACCGGAUUAGAUACCCGGGUAGUCCCAGCCGUAAACGAUGCGGGCUAGGUGUUGGGGUGGCUACGUGCCACUUCAGUGCCGCAGGGAAGCCAUUAAGCCCGCCGCCUGGGGAGUACGGCCGCAAGGCUGAAACUUAAAGGAAUUGGCGGGGGAG
rnacentral:rRNA from 1 species